rnacentral:rRNA from 1 species
AAAAGUUACGAAGGGCGUAUGGGGGAUGCCUUGGCUUCCGGGAGCGAAGAAGGACGUGGUAAGCUGCGAAAAUCGCCGGGGAUUAGCAAACAUGAGUUGAUCCGGCGGACUCCGAAUGGGACAACCCACCAGGCUGAAGGCCUGGUACCAUCGCAAGAUGGGGCAGACGCAGGGAACUGAAACAUCUUAGUACCUGCAGGAAAAGAAAGAAAGAUCGAUUCUCUGAGUAGUGGCGAUCGAAAGGAGAAGAGCCUAAACCGCCGUUGUUUUGGCAAGGGCGGGGUUGCAGGACCCUAUUAGUGAUGUUAUAAAAGAAGUGGAAGUUGUCUGGAAAGGCACACCGCAGGGCGUGAAAGUCGCGUACAUGCAAUUGAAUAACAACACAAGGGAAUCCUAAGUAGGGCGGGACACGAGGAAUCCUGUCUGAAUCCACGGGGACCAUCCCGUAAGGCUAAAUAUUACCGGAAGACCGAUAGUGAACCAGUACUGUGAAGGAAAGGUGAAAAGUACCCCGGACAGGGGGGUGAAAAAGAACCUGAAACCGUACGCCUACAAGCGGUCGGAGCGGGCAAGAGUCCGUAACGGCGUGCCUUUUGCAUAAUGAGCCUACGAGUUACUGUUGCUAGCCAGGUUAAGUACUUCAGGUACGGAGCCGAAGCGAAAGCGAGUCUGAACAGGGCGUGCUGAGUUAGCAGUAGUAGACGCGAAACCUAGUGAUCUACCCUUGGCCAGGUUGAAGUAUCCGUAAAAGGAUAUGGAGGACCGAACCAGUAUCCGUUGAAAAGGAUUUGGAUGAGCUGAGGGUAGGGGUGAAAGGCUAAUCAAACUGGGAGAUAGCUCGUACUCCCCGAAAUGUCUUUUGGGACAGCCUCAAGCUACAGAGUUUACCGGAGGUAGAGCUACUGAUAGGAUGCGAGGGCUUCACCGCCUAUCAAAUCCUGACAAACUCCGAAUGCCGGUAAAUGAUGCUUGGGAGUGAGUUGCCGGGUGCUAAUGUCCGGUAGCGAGAGGGAAAGAGCCCAGACCAACGGCUAAGGCCCCUAAAGUGUGUUAAGUUGACAGAACGAGGUGCGGUUGCUGAGACAGCUAGGAUGUUAGCUUGGAAGCAGCUAAUCAUUUAAAGAGUGCGUAACAGCUCACUAGUCGAGCGACUGUGCGUGGAUAAUAAUCGGGCAUCAAACACACUGCCGAAGCCAUGGACUUCAAAGAAGUGGUAGGGGAGCAUUCCAGAGGGCGUAGAAGGAUAACCUGUGAAGGAAUCUGGAGCGUCUGGAAAAGCAGAUGUAGGCAUAAGUAACGAUAAUGCGGGUUAAAAACCCGCACACCGCAAGCCCAAGGUUUCCUGAUCAAUGUUAGACAGAUCAGGGUUAGUCAGGACCUAAGGGGAAUCCGAGAGGAGCACCCGAUGGACAAAUGGUUAAUAUUCCAUUACCUGUAUGAUAAAGGGGAGGAGUGACGUAGGAGUGACAUGUACGCCGACUGACGGAAUAGUUGGUUAAAGCACGUAAGCAGAUCCGAAGAUUAAGAGUCAUUGGAUGCAGAAGUGCGACAGUACCGCAAGGCUUCGGCUGCGCGGAUAGUUACAGUAAGCAGACUACCGAGAAAAGCUUCGUACCCGUUACCUAUCAUAGAGCCUGUACCGUAAACCGACACAGGUGGGCGAGGAGAGUAUCCUCAGGUGCUCGAGAGAAUCAUGGCUAAGGAACUCGGCAAAAUGACCCCGUAACUUCGGGAAAAGGGGUCCCUGGCGACAGGGCGCAGAGAAAUGGCCCAGGCGACUGUUUAACAAAAACACAUGGCUUUGCAAAAUCGCAAGAUGAAGCAUAAGGCCUGACACCUGCCCGGUGCUGGAAGGUUAAGAGGGGGCGUCAGCCGCAAGGCGAAGCGCUGAAUCGAAGCCCCAGUAAACGGCGGCCGUAACUAUAACGGUCCUAAGGUAGCGAAAUUCCUUGUCGGGUAAGUUCCGACCUGCACGAAUGGUGUAACGAUCUGGGCGCUGUCUCAGCCAUGAGCUCGGUGAAAUUGUAGUAACGGUGAAGAUGCCGUUUACCCGCAACGGGACGAAAAGACCCCGUGAACCUUUACUAUAGCUUAGCGCUGAUUUUGGAUAAGUGAUGUGUAGGAUAGGUGGGAGACUGCGAAGCAGGUACGCCAGUAUUUGUGGAGUCGCCGUUGAAAUACCACCCUUUGCUUAUCUGGGAUCUAACUUGAACAAGGACACCGCUUGGUGGGUAGUUUGACUGGGGUGGUCGCCUCCAAAAGCGUAACGGAGGCUUCCCAAGGU